GGUUGCGAUCAUACCAGCACUAAUGCACCGGAUCUCAUCAGAACUCCGCAGUUAAGCGUGCUUGGGCGAGAGUAGUACUAGGAUGGGUGACCCCCUGGGAAGUCCUCGUGUUGCAACCC
rnacentral:rRNA from 1 species